CAACCAGGUGUGAGCCCAGGGCACAGAGAGCUGGGGAGGGUGUCUGUGUCUGUAACACUUCCCUGUCCUCUCUCACAGAUGGAGUCCAAGAGGGAUAGGAAGGAGAGGACGAGAGCCCCAGUAGUCAAGAAUAAUAAGGUGCAUCCUAGCUGAGCCCGGGGCUCUGUGGGGUUAAGACCAGUGGAAGGGACAAGAGUCUCCUGUGCAGAGUGACUAUUUUGGGUGCAGGUGCAGUGGGGUGCUUUUAAUUGUAGCUCUGCGAACAUCAUGGGAAGGCAGUUCAGGGUAGAGCCCUGGGGUGUGGGAGAUGCGAGAAGCAGAGACUCGCCAUCACGGCAGAGUGUGAUGAUAACUUUUGUUUUUCCUUCUUGCGUUGUGUUUGGCCCCAAGAGAAAAGAAUUGUGUGUGUGUGUGUGUGUGUGUUAAUGCCAGGCAAGACCUGUCCAGCUCACCCUCUCUCUCUUUUUACUGCCUCCUACCAUAGGCCAUGGGCAGGAGAAGUGCACACUGAUCCCCAAAGGCUUGGUAUCCAGAGCCUGCACCGUCUGGCGGGAGGGAAGAGAAUAAUACCAGGUCCUGGAGGCGACAGUGGGGGAGGUGGGGUGACUGGCCACGCAGCCCGUUGGCUCUGUCUCUUUUCAGCGCGUGGGGCUGCUCUAGAGCAUGUGAGAGACAGAGGGAGGCCGAGCUCCCGUGCACUAGUCGAGCUGUGGGCAGGGCUGCCUCGCUCCUCGGUUAUUUCCUGCGCUUGCAGAUGAAUCUCCCAGGAGCCCCAGGCAGAGGAGAAGCUGGAAGAAGUGGAGCUGAGCAGCCUGGACAUCCCGGUAAGCAGAGACGAACAGUCCUGAGCUUUCUGCAUUUCCCAGCACUGGGUGUGAGUCGGCGGUGACGGCACUCUCUUCCUCAGCUCUUCCCAGGGGAAAGUAGUCAUGAGGACGGAGUCCAGCCCCGAGGUGAGAUGGAAAGUGAGUGAGAGCAGUGACAGCGUGAAUCCUGUUGAUGCCAGGCAAGGUCUGUCCAGCUGGGAGCGAAGCAGCUGUCGCUGUCAGUGAGGUAAGUGUCUGGUUUGGUGAGGGCUCUGGUCACAGCCCCCUGGCUCCAGGCAGGGACUUCCCAUUAGCUGGGUGUGGGUUUCCUGACUAGCUGUGGCUUC